UCUCGAGGGCUAGGAGAGGAGCAUACCACACAGGGCCUUUGUCUCCUCUCCCUAAGGGACGUCCUGCCCCAGCUCAUUCCAGAGCUGCCCCCGCCAGGGUCCCUCCUGCACCCCUCAGAGCCCCAGCCCUUGCUAAGGCUGCUUCCCCAACAUUCCAACCCCAGAGAAAAGUCAGGUGCGACCUCACAGGGGAGGAAUCCCACCUUCCUGUGCACCCCAGACCUGCUUCUGGGUCCUGAUUAAAAAAGGCUUUUUGAUAAAA